rnacentral:RNase_P_RNA from 1 species
UGAGUCGGUUGGAUGGUUACCCUGACUUUACGGUUGGGGAGGAAAGUCCGAGCACCGCAGGACAAGGUGCCUCAUAAAUAGAGGAGUUUGUAAAGACAUGGAAAGUGCAACAGAAAAUAUACCGUCUGCCAGAUAGCGGAUAAGGGUGAAAAGGAGGUGUAAGAGACCCCCAGUCCCGAUAGUGAUAACGGGAGCUUGUAAACCCCGUCCGGUGCAAGAUUAAAUAGGCUUUUAGAUGUGGUUCGCAUCGAUACAUAUUAAUGUGUGAGAAGCGGGUAGGUUGCAUGAUCUCGACGGUAACGCCGAGACCAGGUGAAU